rnacentral:rRNA from 1 species
UACGGGGGGGGCAAGCGUUGUUCGGAAUUACUGGGCGUAAAGGGCCAGUAGGCGGCCAACUAAGUCCGACGUGAAAUCCCAAGGCUUAACCUUGGAACUGCGUCGGAUACUGGAUGGCUUGAAUUCGGGAGAGGGAUGCAGAAUUCCAGGUGUAGCGGUGAAAUGCGUAGAUAUCUGGAGGAAUACCGGUGGCGAAGGCGGCAUCCUGGACCGGUAUUGACGCUGAGGCGCGAAAGCUAGGGGAGCAAACGGG